CUCGGGCCGCCGGUGUUACCGCGGCGGCUGGCACCGGUCUUGCCCGGCCCUUGCUAACAGGUGUAUUUUACACACCUGGACAGCCAGCAUAUGAUGCUAGCACUCGGUGUCCCCUUAUCACGGUUUCCCGCAUUGUAAAGUUUUCGCGCCUGCUGCGCCCCGUAGGGCCUGGAUUCAUGUCUCAGAAUCCAUCUCCGGGCUCUUGCUCUCACAACCCGUACCCGUUGUAGGCUAGUAGGUACAUUACACCCACCACUACCUGAUAGGCCGCAGACCCAUCCUUGGGCAGACGAAUCCAUUUUACGCAUAAAGCAUUCCAGCAUAUGUGCGUUAUCCGGAAUUAUCCCCAGUUUCCCGGGGUUGAUCCUGCCGGACCCAAGGGCAUGUUAUCAGACGUGUUACUGAGCCAGUACGCGAUGUUCAACGAUAGCACAUAUGACUGGCAUACGGCUUAGGCUAACACCGAUAGUCAGUACAUGCCUCAUGGGACGUGGAUCAACCUCGGGAAACUGAGGAUAAACCGCGAUAGGUCAUCACUUCUGGAAUGGGCAAUGACUUAAAUCUAUAUGGCCCCUGGAUUGGACUGCGGCCGAUCAGGCUGUUGGUGAGGUAAUGGCCCACCAAACCUGUAACCGGUACGGGCUCUGAGAGGAGGAGCCCGGAGAUGGGCACUGAGACAAGGGCCCAGGCCCUAUGGGGCGCAGCAGGCGCGAAACCUCUGCAAUAGGCGAAAGCUUGACAGGGUUACUCUGAGUGAUUUCCGUUAAGGAGAUCUUUUGGCACCUCUAAAAAUGGUGCAGAAUAAGGGGUGGGCAAGUCUGGUGUCAGCCGCCGCGGUAAUACCAGCACCCCGAGUGGUCGGGACGUUUAUUGGGCCUAAAGCAUCCGUAGCCGGUUCUACAAGUCUUCCGUUAAAUCCACCUGCUUAACAGAUGGGCUGCGGAAGAUACUAUAGAGCUAGGAGGCGGGAGAGGCAAGCGGUACUCGAUGGGUAGGGGUAAAAUCCGUUGAUCCAUUGAAGACCACCAGUGGCGAAGGCGGCUUGCCAGA
rnacentral:rRNA from 1 species